ACCUGGCUGGCUCAGUCGGUACAGCACGCAACUCUUAAUCUUGGGGUCAUGAGUUUGAGUCCCAUGUUGGGUG
rnacentral:tRNA from 1 species